CCUACGGGAGGCAGCAGUGGGGAAUAUUGCACAAUGGGCGAAAGCCUGAUGCAGCAACGCCGCGUGAGCGAUGAAGGCCUUCGGGUCGUAAAGCUCUGUCCUCAAGGAAGAUACUGACGGUACUUGUGGAGGCAGCGCCGGCUAACUACGUGCCAGCAGCCGCGGUAAUACGUCGGGGGCUAGCGUUAUCCGGAAUUACUGGGGGUAAAGGGGGCGUAGGUGGCUUCGUAGGUUCGAGGUGAAAGGCUACGGCUCAACCGUAGUAAGGCUUUGAAAAUGGGGAACUUGAGUGCAGGAGAGGAGAGUGGAAUUCCUAGUGUAGCGGUGAAAUGCGUAGAUAUUAGGAGGAACACCAGUUGCGAAGGCGGCUCUCUGGACUGUAACUGACACUGAGGCACGAAAGCGUGGGGAGCAAACAGGAUUAGAUACCCCUGUAGUC
rnacentral:rRNA from 1 species